GACGAACGCUGGCGGCACGCCUAACACAUGCAAGUCGAACGGACUUAGGAGAGCUUGCUCAAAUAAGUUAGUGGCGGACGGGUGAGUAACACGUGAGCAACCUGCCUCUAAGAGGGGAAUAGCUUCUAGAAAUGGAUGGUAAUACCUCAUAAAAUAUUUUAAUGGCAUCAUUGAAAUAUCAAAGAUUUAUCGCUUAGAGAUGGGCUCGCGUCUGAUUAGCUAGAUGGUAAGGUAACGGCUUACCAUGGCGACGAUCAGUAGCCGGACUGAGAGGUUGAACGGCCACAUUGGGACUGAGACACGGCCCAGACUCCUACGGGAGGCAGCAGUGGGGAAUAUUGCACAAUGGGCGAAAGCCUGAUGCAGCGAUGCCGCGUGAGGGAAGAA
rnacentral:rRNA from 1 species